rnacentral:rRNA from 1 species
ACGGACACAGGUGCUGCAUGGCUGUCGUCAGCUCGUGUCGUGAGAUGUUGGGUUAAGUCCCGCAACGAGCGCAACCCUUAUCCCUAGUUGCCAUCAGGUAAAGCUGGGAACUCUGGGGAGACUGCCGGUGAUAAACCGGAGGAAGGCGGGGAUGACGUCAAGUCCUCAUGGCCCUUACAUCCCGGGCUACACACGUGCUACAAUGGCAGGUACAGAGGGCUGCGAAGCCGCGAGGUGGAGCGAAUCCCAGAAAACCUGUCUCAGUCCGGAUUGAAGUCUGCAACUCGACCUCAUGAAGGCGGAAUCGCUAGUAACCGCGAAUCAGCAGGUCGCGGUGAAUACGUUCCCGGGCCUU